GAUCAAGUGACCUAAGGGCAUUUGGUGGAUGCCUUGGCGGUAAGAGGCGAUGAAGGACGUGGUACGCUGCGAUAAGCUUGGGGAAGGUGCGAACAGCCGUUGAUCCCAAGAUUUCCGAAUGGGGAAACCCACCUUCGACAUCUUGAAAUUCGCAUCCGGGUUUCGACUCGGGUUCGGAUUUCAGGGUGUCAUAAGAAGGUAUCUAACCCUGAAUAAAAUAGGGGAUUAGAAGCAAACCCAGGGAACUGAAACAUCUAAGUACCUGGAGGAAAGGACAUCAACCGAGACUCCGCUAGUAGUGGCGAGCGAACGCGGACUAGGCCAGUGCCUCAGUGACGACAAGUGGAACCUUCUGGAAAGUUGGGCCAUAGCGGGUGAUAGCCCCGUACACGUAAUGCAGAUCUGAGGACUCGAGUAGGGCGGGACACGUGCAAUCCUGUCUGAACAUGGGGGGACCACCCUCCAAGCCUAAGUACUCCUUACCGACCGAUAG
rnacentral:rRNA from 1 species